AAACCAAUCCAGCUUGCUGGGUCUUGGGCUUUCGCCUCUGGGCGGGCCUUAAAAUCAGUGGCGGUGCCAUCCGGCUCUAAGCGUAGUAAUUCUUCUCGCUAUGGAGUUCCGGGUGGAGGCUUGCCAACCAACCCCAAAUUUUUACA
rnacentral:misc_RNA from 1 species